rnacentral:rRNA from 1 species
AUUGAACGCUGGCGGCAGGCCUAACACAUGCAAGUCGAACGAGUGGCGGACGGGUGAGUAAUGUAUGGGAAAAUGCCUAAUGGAGGGGGAUAACGACAUGAAACGGUAGCUCAUACCGCAUACCAGAAGAUGUGCCAAGGUCGGAAUAGCUUGUUGGUGGGGUAACGGCUCACCAAGGCGACGAUCCGUAGCAGGUCUGAGAGGAUGAUCAGCCACACUGGAACUAAGACACGGUCCAGACUCCUACGGGAGUCAGCAGUGGGGAAUAUUGCACAAUGGUCGCAAGCCUGAUGCAGCCAUGCCGCGUGUAUGAAGAAGGUCUUCGGGUUGUAAAGCACUUUCAGCUGGGAGGCGUUACCCGCAGAAUAAGCACCGGCUAACUCCGUGCCAGCAGCCGCGGUAAUUC